AACGAACGCUGGCGGCAUGCCUAACACAUGCAAGUCGAACGAGACCUUCGGGUCUAGGGGCGCACGGGUGCGUAACGCGGGGGAACCUGCCCUUAGGUUCGGAAUAACUCCCCGAGAGGGGUCCUAAUACCGGAUAAUGUCUUCGCGCCAAAGAGUUAUCGCCGUGGGAUGGGCCCGCGUUGGAUUAGCUAGUUGGUAGUGUAAAAGCCUACCAACGGCACGAUCCAUAGCUGGUCUGAGAGGAGGAUCAUCCACACUGGGACUGAGACACGGACCAGACUCCUACGGGAGGCAGCAGUGGGGAAUAUUGGACAAUGGGCGAAAGCCUGAUACAGCAAUGCCGCGUGAGUGAUGAAGGCCUUAGGGUUGUAAAGCUCUUUUACCCGGGAUGAUAAUGACAGUAACGGGAGAAUAAGCUCCGGCUAACUCCGUG
rnacentral:rRNA from 1 species